rnacentral:lncRNA from 1 species
CUAAUAAUGGAGCAAAGUUGACUGCACAAUUUUUCUGUUGCUUCAGUUUUGUCUGGUAAAUAAAAUGCCUGGAAGGACAAAACAAAAAUGUCUAAUGGAAUAUAAUUCAAGAUAAGUAGGAGAAAACCUGAAAACAUCCAGCUGCCUUUGAUGAGUUUAGGUCACUAGGUCCAGAUGAACCACAUCUUCAAGUAUUAAAAGACCUUGAAAAAGUGAUUGCUGAACCACUUUCAGGGAUCUUUGAAGGGCCUCAGAGAAUAAGAGAGGCUUACGAAAUUCUUCACUCAAAGCAUCACUGUCAGAUUGGUCUUGUGGAAAAGAAGCUGCCCUUGUUAGCAAACCAAGUUCAAGAGUUUUGGAACUCAUCCUUGCUGAGAGAGAAAUCAAGUAAAGUCAAGAGGCAUUUAUUAAGCACCAGUCACAGAAAAAGCAGAGUCAAGACAAUGUAUGUAUACUCUGGGAGCCUGAAAUAAAUGAAAAAGCUGACUUCAAGAGUGGGCCUGCUUGUUUGACACCUCUGAGCAUCAGUGAAGUACAAAUUGGAGGACAAAUUAAGGCCAGGUUUGGGAGUUCUGGAUUUGAUGGAAAGCAGAGAAGAGGGAACCCAUUGAAAGAGGAAAGAAGAUAUGUCUUUUCAUAUGAUGUUAAGUUGGAAGGGGCCUCAGAUGUCAUCUAUCCUGACACCCCAAUUUUACAGAUAAAGAAGCUAAUGGCUAAGAAGGUUGCGACUCAUCCAAGCUCACUUAGAAAACAACUGUCAGAAGUAGAGUCUGAACUUCAUUCUUCUGACUCCUUCCAUCAAUCUUUCCAGUUUAAAUGACAUUUUCUCCCCUGAAGAUUAAAUAGCAUGGGAAUUAAAAAUCUUUCUGGAAGAUGUAUGGUAAAGUUAUUACUUGAAGAUAUACUGCAUAAUUGAGAUGAAUGUGAUAUGUUGUCCAGAGUCCUUGGCCCAUAUGUAUUAUUUUCCAAGAAAUGUGUGUAAAAUAUAAUUGUCCAUAAUCUUUAAUAAAGAUUAAGCUAUGAAAACA